AUUAAUGCGUUGAUGAGUAGAAUCUUACUAUCUACUUUUAGAGAGUUCUCGGUUGGUGAAAGAGAAUAGUCAGGAGUAAGAGAAAUGGACUUUGAGCAUAUAGUUUUUACUACGGUUUUGCCCGUUAUAGCAAAAGUUAUAUUUGUAACUUAUUAAGGUACAAUAAGUGAUUAUUGUAUAAAUAAAGGUGGUAACACGGUAAGGCGUCCUUUAG
rnacentral:ncRNA from 1 species